rnacentral:lncRNA from 1 species
CCACGAACUCACUUAUACAAUACAAAACUUUAUUUUCAAUGGUAUUUAGAUUUCCUUAUGCACUAAAAUUCAAUUUUAUUGCCUCCUUUUGUGUAACUAUAUUCUCAUAAAAAUACGGCUAAAAUUUACUCUCUUUUUUUAAUUUUAAUCAAAUAUACAAUAUUUACAUUGCACAAUUUCAGAUUCAUACUAAACUGCAUCUUUACUAUUGAAAAUAAUAUAUAAUACGUAGUAGUCUUCGAAUAUAGAAUUCAGCAAACUUAAAAAAAAAAUUCUUAAGAAAAAAACUGUAGAUGAUUAAAAUUAUUUUCAAACUUCUCUAACUCUAUUCAAAUAUAUUUUUUGAAUACAAUACUUUCAAACUUCUCAUAAGUUUCUUCUUCUAGUGAAC